GUGUCACCCAUACCAGGCCAAGGAAUAGCCACAGAGACAUCCGGACAGUGGAAAUGCUCGUAUGAUCGAACGACUGUCACUCCUUUGCUCCUACUCGGUCGAGAAUCUGCUUCAUGCUUCCAUACGUAAACAUGAGAGUCCUCACUGGCCGAUAUCACAUACCUGCCAUUCGCCGAAAGGCAGGCCGAGAUUUGGCUGUUUGUAUUUCGGAACCCUUUA
rnacentral:misc_RNA from 1 species